CCCCCAAAAUACCAUUAAUUUUCAUGAACCCCUAAUCUAUAAUGAAUGACUCCAUAUUUAUAUGGAAGACACCAUGCUAGGAUUAGUAACAAGAAUUUAUAAUUCUCCAAAAUGCAAAUAUAAACCAACAUGGAUGGACCAUUGGUAGUUACCGAACCUAAAUUCAAUGCAACAACACCUACAAGAAAACUCUGCAGUACUUACUCGUUAACCUAACACCAGCGCAUUACAGGAAAGAUUUAAAAAAAGAGAAGGAAUUCGGCAAAUGACGGCCCCGCCUGUUUACCAAAAACAUCGCCUCUUGACUUAUAAUAAGAGGUCCAGCCUGCCCAGUGAAUUUUAAACGGCCGCGGUAUCCUAACCGCGCGAAGGUAGCAUAAUCACUUGUUCUUUAAAUGGGGACUCGUAUCAACGGCAUCACGAGGGUUUUACUGUCUCCUCUUUUUGAUCAGUGAAAUUGAUCUUCCCGUGAAGAAGCGGGAAUAAAUUUAUAAGACGAGAAGACCCCAUGGAGCUUUAAACCAAAUAACAACUUAACCACUUAUCCCAUAAUAAAUUUAAGCCCUGUUAUAAGGUUUUUGGUUGGGGUGACCGCGGAGUAAAACACAUCCUCCACGACGAAAAAAACAGAAUUUUUAUUUAAGAACCACACUUCUAGAAAUUAGUAUACUAACGUUUACUGACCCGACAAUCGAUCAACGGACCAAGUUACCCUGGGGAUAACAGCGCAAUCUACUUCAAGAGCUCAUAUCGACAAGUAGGCUUACGACCUCGAUGUUGGAUCAGGGUAUCCCGGUGGUGCAGCCGCUACCGAAGGUUCGUUUGUUCAACGAUUAAAACCCUACGUGAUCUGAU
rnacentral:rRNA from 1 species